UACGGAGGGUGCAAGCGUUAUCCGGAUUCACUGGGUUUAAAGGGUGCGUAGGUGGAUUAGUAAGUCAGUGGUGAAAUCUCCGGGCUUAACCCGGAAACUGCCAUUGAUACUAUUAGUCUUGAAUACCGUGGAGGUCAGCGGAAUAUGUCAUGUAGCAGUGAAAUGCUUAGAUAUGACAUAGAACACCAAUUGCGAAGGCAGCUGGCUACACGAGCAUUGACACUCAGGCACGAAAGCGUGGGGAUCAAACAGG
rnacentral:rRNA from 1 species